rnacentral:lncRNA from 1 species
GGGUGGGAGAAAAUCGGACCCAGAAUAGGAAAAAGGUGACCCANAUCAGNUANGAAAUAGAACUAGGAAUCAAAGAAAAUGAUGAUGCAAAAGAGACCCACAACAGAGAAAAAGCUAGAACUAAAUAUGCAUGUCAUGAUUUUUGUUACAUGACCACCAAUACUAUGUCGUGUGUCCUAGAAGAAAAGGCCAAAAUUGAUCUUGCAGGACCCUGAGCGUAGAAAGAAGUGUUUUUUGUGUGAAAAAAUGGGAGUGUUGAAUAUUCUGAGAGAACAUUGCUUAUCUGAAGCAAAAGAAUGAUUAAGGUUUCCCUUCAAAGGGAAAAAGAAGAAUUUAGAAAUGAAUAAAGAAAUUUUGGAAAGUGGUGAAGGAAU